rnacentral:rRNA from 1 species
GAAACACGGACCAAGAAGUCUAACGUGUGGGCGAGUCUUCGGGGCCUAACGAACCCUUAGAAGGCGAAAUAAAAGUGAAGGUUUCCAUCUUGCCCUUUCGGGGGUGAGUAGGAAGCUGUGGUGUGAUCCUCUGUUUCUUAGCAGGGGCGCAACACCGGCCCGUCCUAUGAUCGCUUCGCCGAUCGGGCGGAGCAAGAGCCCACACGUUGGGACCCGAAAGAUGGUGAACUAUGCCUGGGCAGGACGAGGCCAGAGGAAACUCUGGUGGAAGUCCGCAGCGGUUCUGACGUGCAAAUCGAUCGUCGGACCUGGGUAUAGGGGCGAAAGACUAAUCGAACCAUCUAGUAGCUGGU